AGUGAACGCUGGCGGUAUGCCUAACACAUGCAAGUCGAACGACAACACAGUAAGCUCUCGCUCCUACGGGUGGCGACUGACGGACGGGUGAGACGUAGAUCGCCAUCCUCUUUUUCUUGGGGGACAACGUGGAGAAGCUUCCGCUAAUACCGCAUACGACCUACGGCUUAAAUCAGUGGAUCUUCGGACCUUGCGCGACUCUAUGAGCCGAUGUCGGAUUAGCUAGUUGGCGAGGUAAAGUCCCACCAAGGCGACGAUCCGUAGCUGGUCUGAGAGGAUGAUCGGCCACACUGGAACUGAGACACGGUCCAGACUCCUACGGGAGGCAGCAGUGGGGAAUCUUGGACAAUGGGCGCAAGCCUGACGCAGCAAUGCCGCGUGGGUGAUGAAGGCCUUCGGGUUGUAAAGCCCUGUUAUUAGGAAAGAAAAGCAGCGGAAUAAUAUACGGAUGUUCUGACGGUACCCAAAGAGAAAGCACCGGCUAACUUCGUG
rnacentral:rRNA from 1 species